ACGCUCGACACCUACGGGGGGCAGCAGUAGGGAAUCUUCCACAAUGGACGCAAGUCUGAUGGAGCAACGCCGCGUGAGUGAAGAAGGUUUUCGGAUCGUAAAGCUCUGUUGUUGGUGAAGAAGGAUAGAGGUAGUAACUGGCCUUUAUUUGACGGUAAUCAACCAGAAAGUCACGGCUAACUACGUGCCAGCAGUCGCGGUAAUCUGAGCGGGCUGGCAAGGC
rnacentral:rRNA from 1 species